rnacentral:miRNA from 1 species
AACCUCAUUGACCGGAAGGAAUUGCUUCCAAUUGAUGAGGGUUAACAAUCUCAUUGACCAGAAGGAAUCCCUUGCGGUCAAUGAGGCAUAAUAACUUCAUCAAUGGGCAGGAAUUCCUUCUGGUCAAUGAGGUU